AUUGAACGCUGGCGGCAGGCCUAACACAUGCAAGUCGAACGAGUGGCGGACGGGUGAGUAAUGUCUGGGACACUGCCUGAUGGAGGGGGAUACCUACUGGAAACGGUAGCUAAUCCCGCAUACCAUCAGAUGUGCCCAGAUGGGAUUAGCUAGUUGGUGGGGUAACGGCUCACCAAGGCGACGAUCCCUAGCUGGUCUGAGAGGAUGACCAGCAACACGGGAACGGAGAAACGGUCCAGACGCCUACGGGAGGAAGCAGUGGGGAAUAUUGCACAAUGGGAGAAAGCCGGAUGAAGCAAUGCCGCGUGUAUGAAGAAGGCAUACGGGUGGUAAAGUAAUUUCAGCGGGGAGGCGUUACCCGCAGAAGAAGCACCGGCUAACUCCGUGCCAGCAGCCGCGGUAAUUC
rnacentral:rRNA from 1 species